GGCUCAGUGGGAGAAAAGGGUGUCUGUCUGUCUGGUCUCUGCUGCUGACUUGCGUUUGCUUCCUCACAG
rnacentral:miRNA from 1 species